GUUAUAGAUACAGCCUACAUAUGUUGUGCAACUGAACAAUGAAUAUUGUUUCAUGGUAGAUGGAUCUCACAUCAGAAUGUUUAGCAUGUAUGGAUUUGAUACAGCCAAAAUAUGUUAUACUCCUAGACAAUGAAGAUGCUUUCAUGGUAUACAACACUUGAGGAUUAUUGACAUAUGCAGCCUAUAUAUGUUACUCCUCUCCAAUGAAGAUAGUUUCAUUGUAGAUAGUGCAUUAGGAUAAGUCACAUAUCAAGCCUAAAUAUGUUGGCACUCCUUUACCAUGAAAGAUGCUUGCAUUGUAGAUAACACAUAAGAAUGAGUUACAUAUACAGCCUCAAUAUGUAACACUCCUUUACCAUGAAAGCACAUUGGGACAAGUUGCAUAUUCAACUUAAAACACAUGAUGUUUCAGUCGUAUCAGGUGCAGCAUGACAGCCAAACAGUUGAACUGAUUAUUGUGAUGAGACAGUUUAUUGCUUUGGAAAAUCUAAUUAUAUAGUUUAUAGAUUUAGAUAAUAAAAUUCUGUAAUGUUCAUAAUAUCAGAUGAUAAUUAGUUAAGUGCCCUCAAUAUGUCUUCAACGAGAUAUUAACAUGCACAAUUAAGGAUGUACUGUACAAAAUCUUCAACAUUCUUGUUCAUAAAAGUAGUUUCUGAUUCUCAAUUUUAUAAGAUAUAUACAUAUUUACCUGAAUUUAUUUUUAAGGUAAUUGUAACAAUAUGACUGUAUUUAGAUUGUUUGAAAUUCAAGUUGAGUUUCAAUUAUUUCUUUUCAAAAUAUAUAUAUCACAUUCUUCUGGUUUCAAUUUUUGAAAUUUAAAAAUGAAAUAUAGCCAAAGAUCAAUUGAACAGUGGUGUUGUUUGAAGUUAAUACCAGCUCUUCAUAGUAUCUUAAAAUGCCUAAAAUGGAAACAAUGUUUAAAUUUAACAAGUUACCAUAUCUACUGAUGAAGAAAUUCGAAUAUUGUGUAUGUUCCUUUUUUGUACAAAUGGACAUCUUUUGAGUAAUUGAUUGGAACACCCAAACAAUAAUUUAAUCAUUUGGGUUUCUUCUUGUAUAUCCAUCAUUGAUUUUGUAAGAUAAAAAUUAAAAAAAGUCAUUUUGUUAAAAUUAUUUCUCAUUUUAAAAUUCUACUAAACUAAUAGUUUAGUUCAUGCUCCUUUUAUCUAUAUCUUAAAAGUUUUGUGGUGGACUAAGAAAAUAUCAAAUGAUCAUUUCAGAAAUACACUUGAUUGCAGCGCUGCAUCUUCACUAACAUUUAACAUAGUUGGUUUUGGGUUUCUGAGCUAGUUAUUGUUGGUGUGUUUCUUUGUUUUUUCUAUAGAGGAAUUGGCGGUUUCUAAGUCUUCAGGAUAUGGUUUUGUCAUUCAAAGGGAACUCGCAAUCUUGCAAUGUAAUUCUGAAAUGAUAUACAUUUGAUAUUUUAUUUUCAUUGAAAAAGAAACAAUAUUAAAUUUGUUGCAUGAACAUUUGAAUUAUUUAAACUUUAUAAUUCAUAAUUUUUGGAAAUAGAAUUCAAAUUGUACCUGACACAGUUUGGAAAUAAAAUUCAAAUUGUUACUGACACAUUUUGGAAAUAAAAUUCAAAUUUUAACUGACAGUUUGGAAAUAAAAUUCAAAUUGUAACUGUCACAUUUUAGAAAUAAUAUUCAAAUUGUAACUGACAUAUUUUGGAGAUUGAAUUCAAAUUGUAACUGACCCAUUUUGGAAAUAAAAUUCAAAUUUUAACUGACACAUUUUGGAAAUAAAAUUCAAAUUGUAACUGACACAUUUUAAAAAUCGAAUUCAAAUUGUAACUGACACAUUUUGGAAAUAAAAUUCAAAUUGUAACUAACCCAUUUUGGAAAUAGAAUUUAAAUUGUAACUGACCCAUUUUGGAAAUAGAGCUCAAAUUGUAACUGACACAUUUUGGAAAUUUAAUUCAAAUUGUAACUGACAGUUUGGGAAUAUAAUUCAAAUUGUAACUAACACAUUUUGAUUGAUAGAAUUUUAAAAAAACAAGAAAAUUUAUGUACUUAAUUUAAGCACAAGUGAAAACACAAUUCCAAAAUUUAAAUUUUUGCUUCAUUUGGUAAAUUGGAUUUGCAAAAUCACUGAUGGCUUACAAGGUUAAUUCCCUUAUUAGUUAGAUAAUGAAGUAUAGUCUAGUGGACCCUGUAGACAUCCUACUAAAUGUAUUGAUAUAUUAAAAGUUUGUUUAUAUCUCAAUCAAAAUUUGUACAUGCCUCACACACAAUUGUGCAAGCAGAGUUGCAUGUACUAAACAGUCGGCUAUCAACUUUUAUAUAACAAAACCAUUUCACAAUCAAUAUUUGUAAAUGCCUCACACAUAAAGGUACAAGCAGAGUUGUAUGUACUGGACAUUGUCAGCUAUUGAGUAUUUUUAUAACAAAACCACAGAACUGGUAUCUAGGAAAUUGAAAUGAAUCAACAAUACUGUCAUUUAUGUUUUACAAUAAAAUAUAUUUCUCAUUAUAUCUUACUUAAGAUUUAAAGAUGUACUACAGUGUCAUAACACUACAAGUUACAAUAUAUUUAUAAACUGUCACUUAGUAAUUUUGUAUCGUGAUGCAGAUGUUUGUCAUCAUAUUAUUUAAAACAUGGUGCAUUACUUGUUUAGAGUUUUCUUUAUGUAUUAUGACGUAUGCUAUUUUUAAUAAACUUGUAUUCAUGUUUAUUAUGUGGAUGAAAAUAAAAUAUGAUGUCUAGGUUAUCAGCACAAAUGUGUUUCUUUAUUUUAUUACAAAAUAUAUAGUAUAGUCUAGUGGACCCUGUAGACAUUCUCCUAAAUAUAUUGAUAUAUCAAAAGUUUGUUUAUAUCUCAAUCAAAAUUUGUACAUGCCUCGCACAAAAUGGUGCAAGCAGAGUUGCAUGUACUAGACAGAGUCGGCUAUCAACUUUUAUAUAAAAAACCAUUUCACAAUCAAUAUUUGUAAAUGCCUCGCACAUAAAGGUGCAAGCAGAGUUGCAUGUACUGGACAUUGUAGAGUAUUUUUAUAACAAAACCACAGAACUGGUAUCCAGGAAAUUGAAAUGAAUUAACAAUACUGUCAUUUAUGUUGUAGAAAUAUAUUUUUCAACGUUUCGCAGUAUAGCGGAAAAAUUCUGUCUUAAAGUUUCUGUAAUAUUGUGUAUGGGUCAUAAUGAAUGAUUCGAUAGGUCAGGUGACCUUAUGUUUUGUUAUGUUAAUUUGUUUUUCAGAGUUCGUGAAAAAAUUGUCUAGGUGGUCAUUCUAGCUGUAGAUAUCGUACAGUUAAAACUUUUUUUUUUUGCAUAAAAAAAUGUUUUUUUUAUAUAAUCAUGACUAAAUACGGCAUCAUUACCCAGAAAUGGCUCUUGCAUUGCUCCGUGCGCAGGUUUUCAAACUAUAUAAGUUGGUUUUUCCUGUGCGGAGAGUGUCUGUUUAUGACGGGUAUUUAUGAUAUGAUAUUUAUCAUUUGGUAUGUUCUUGCAAGUUAUAGAUAUUCAUUACUAUUGUUGCCGAAAGUAUAUUUUUUGGUUCACAAAGCUGUGUGUUAAAUUACUUAGUAUAGAUACUAUUACUGUGUUAUAUAUGAUGUAAUAUAUGAAAUUAUUGUAUUGUACUGAAUUAAAUGCUGGCUCCAGUCUGUCUGCACGGCAAAAUGCAUAUUUUAGUUUAGUCUAAUUUAGUUGAUCAAAAUUAUUGUGUAGUUAAGGCUAAUAUAUUUCUCAUUAUAACUUACUUAUGAUGCAGAUUUAAAAAUGUACUACAGUGACAUAACACUACACGUUACAAUAUAUUUAGAUACUGUCACUUAUUUUGUACUUUCUGUCAUGAUGCAAAUUUUUGUCAUGUUAUUUUAAACGUGGUGCAUUACUUUUUUAUAGUUUCUUUAUGUAUUAUGACGUAUGCUAUAUUUGCUAAACUUGAAUGCAUGUUCAUUAUGUUGAUGAAAAUAAAAUAUGAUGUCUAGGUUAUCAGCAAUAUGAA